rnacentral:rRNA from 1 species
UACUGAGGGUGCAAGCGUUAAUCGGAAUUACUGGGCGUAAAGCGAGUGUAGGCGGCUUCGUAAGUCGGAUGUGAAAGCCCUGGGCUUAACCUGGGAAUGCCAUUCGAUACUGCGCGGCUAGAGUUUGAUAGAGGGAAGUGGAAUUCCAGGUGUAGCGGUGAAAUGCGUAGAUAUCUGGAGGAACAUCAGUGGCGAAGGCGGCUUCCUGGAUCAAAACUGACGCUGAGGCUCGAAAGCGUGGGUAGCAAACAGG